UACGAAGGGGGCUAGCGUUGUUCGGAAUUACUGGGCGUAAAGCGCGCGCAGGCGGUCUUCCAAGUCAGUGGUGAAAGCCCGGAGCUCAACUCCGGAACUGCCAUUGAAACUGUGAGACUUGAGGAUGAGAGAGGUGAGUGGAAUUCCCAGUGUAGAGGUGAAAUUCGUAGAUAUUGGGAAGAACACCGGUGGCGAAGGCGGCUCACUGGCUCAUUUCUGACGCUCAGGCGCGACAGCGUGGG
rnacentral:rRNA from 1 species